CUACACUGAAAAAACGAACUUGGUGGUGUAGUAAAAUAUACUAAUUAAACUGUCCUGAUGUCUACAAUUAAAUUUUUCGUUUCUGCGGGAACUAGAUUUUGUCAAGUAAAAUUACAUGUAUGUACACAAUUUAUUUAUGUAUUUAAAAUGGCUGUGUGGAAGGAGUAAGUCUUAUUAUGGAUGUUUUCAUAACAUUUAAAUGUUUUUUAGUCUCUGCUAGAAACACUAAAAUACUGAGUAAAUUUUACGACACUAUUUUAGAGUGCGUUUGAAUCAGCGCAUGCGCAUUGGGACAAACGAAAGUACCGCGCAGAUGUCCAUUGUCCGUCCGUUCGUUGGCAGCAGACAGAGUUGUGAAUAUCUCCGGAAUCUCUCAGGUAAGUAACAGCUUUAUCCAUUAAAUAAUUUAUUAUCAGUUUAAAACGCGUUUUGGUGAUUAGUUUGAAGCACUGUAUGGACUGCACACCGAGCGGUCUACACCAAGGUUUGUGUGAUGUAGCUUGAUGCUAGCUAGCUAGUUAUUAGCCAGUUCAUUCCACCAGAGUCGCACACCGCGCGGUUAAUUUGCGAGAUACUAUAUCUUAUUCAGAGCUAUUGUAUUUUGUCUCAUGUACUGUCCCGUGUAGUGCGAAUAUAACACAACGCUACGCCAAAGUUUUUCGUUUUUUUAGUUAUUGUCUAUGUGCUUUCACCUCGAAACAUCAUCUCAACUUUUAGCAUGGCGGCCGCGUUGCGGUGUAUCGUUGAAGCUGCGUGCCACGGUCAAGAGACAAACACAACAUGAAAAUGGCUGUAAAUGAAUCUAUAAAUUAUAAGUUGCCCUUAAAAAUAUGUGUUUUCAUUCACAGGCGACUGUUUUUGUAUUUAGCCGGCUGGGACAUGAGGUGACCAGAGAGAGUCAGGAGCGCUGGGCUGUUCAGUGACUAAUCAAAUACUGCACCGUUGUGAUUAGAGCAAAGCUUCAUGUACAAACUAGACCACUAUACACCAAAGCUUACUGCCCUGAUGAAAGCCAAGGGAGGUGUUGGAGGCAGGCUGAGGCCCCAUCUGGAUAAACUGAGUCAGAACCCGAGCACUGACAUGUGACGUGACGCAGUUAUCAGUGGCCUCAUACUAUUCCUUGGUGAAAAAGAAGAGAAACUUUUCGAAGAUUGCCUGGAGGACAAUCGCAGUGAUGCCACUCAACACAUAGUCAAGAUCCUGGUUGUCCAUGGUACUGAUGGAGAAGAACCAGUAGAUGUUUCCAUCAUUCUUGAAGGGAAGGAGGUAUUGACACGAUGCAACAGCACAGCCAAAGCUUGCACGUUGCUAAUGGGACUGAUUUAUUCCCUGAACCUUGCCUACCCCUGGACUCUGCGCUACACCUUUGAGGUGUUUCAAAAACUUUUCCUGGAACUGAAUGGGAUAAAGCUGUCACCAAAAGUACAUCUUUAAAGUUGAAGUUGCUGUCUGAAAGGAGUUUUCUUUCUUAAAUGUUCCUAAUGUUGUCAACAAAGGCAACUGCUGUCAUUCAUGCUCACAAGGUAAAAAAAAAGUUAAAAAUAACCUUUGUUUUAAAGGUUUUAACAGAGGAUUUGAUGUUGUCCUCAAACUUUAAUGUUUUAACCGAAUGCUAAUAUAAAUAUGUUAAUGGAUGUUGCGGUUUAGAAUGUUGUUCAUGUCAGUACAGCAUAUUUUGUCAGGUCAAACCCUCAAUCUGUUUUGUCACCUGAUGUGCCCUGUUUAGUUUAAUGCGUCCAGGAGUCAAAAACAUUUUGAUUUUCCAGUGAUAUGCUUUUUUUCUGUAUAGCGUAAUGAUCACUCAGUAAAGGUAAACUUUUUUCUUUAUUGAUGCUUGAUUGAUGCUUUAUUGAUUUACUGCUGCUGAGAUUUCAUUUAAUUUUUUGUCAUGUGAAAUGUUGACUGCUGUUUCAUGUACAGUUCUACAUAGCUGUAUAAAAUGAGGUGUUACGUAAGGUACCUGACAAAGGUUUAUGAAUAAAUAAUGGAAUUGUAUUUUAGCCGUGUGAUUAUUAAUAGUAUUUGGUAAUAUUUAUCAAAAGAGAAUUUGCAACAUUUACAUAAAUGAAUUAGGUAAUAUAACUUCAAACAACCAAGUAAUUAAAAUGAUCAAACAGGAUAAAAAGUACUUGAUAAUUUUACGACAGUAAAUAUCAAAGAUAAAUAAAAUCUACUCAAUAUUUUGAUGUUGUAAAU
ensembl:lncRNA